AUUGAACGCUGGCGGAAUGCUUUACACAUCCAAGUCGAACGGCAGCACGGACUUCGGUCUGGUGGCGAGUGGCGAACGGGUGAGUAAUGUAUCGGAACGUGCCCAGUCGUGGGGUAUAACGUAGUGAAAAUUACGCUAAUACCGCAUACGAUCUAUGAUGAAAGCGGGGGAUCGCAAGACCUCGCGCGAUUGGAGCGGCCGAUAUCAGAUUAGGUAGUUAGUGGGGUAAAGGCCCACCAAGCCAACGAUCUGUAGCUGGUCUGAGAGGACGACCAGCCACACUGGAACUGAGACACGGUCCAGACUCCUACGGGAGGCAGCAGUGGGGAAUUUUGGACAAUGGGCGAAAGCCUGAUCCAGCCAUUCCGCGUGCAGGAUGAAGGCCCUCGGGUUGUAAACUGCUUUUGUACAGAACGAAAAGGUUUCUACUAAUACUAGGAGCUCAUGACGGUACUGUAAGAAUAAGCACCGGCUAACUCCGUGCCAGCCGCCGCUGUAA
rnacentral:rRNA from 1 species